rnacentral:rRNA from 1 species
AGAGUUUGAUUAUGGCUCAGGAUGAACGCUAGCUACAGGCUUAACACAUGCAAGUCGAGGGGCAGCAUUGGAGUAGCAAUACUUCAGAUGGCGACCGGCGCACGGGUGAGUAACACGUAUCCAACCUGCCGCUUACUCGGGGAUAGCCUUUCGAAAGAAAGAUUAAUACCCGAUGGUAUAAAGAGUUCGCAUGUUCUCUUUAUUAAAGAAUUUCGGUAAGCGAUGGGGAUGCGUUCCAUUAGAUAGUUGGCGGGGUAACGGCCCACCAAGUCUACGAUGGAUAGGGGUUCUGAGAGGAAGGUCCCCCACAUUGGAACUGAGACACGGUCCAAACUCCUACGGAAGGCAGCAGUGAGGAAUAUUGGUCAAUGGACGCGAGUCUGAACCAGCCAAGUAGCGUGAAGGAUGACUGCCCUAUGGGUUGUAAACUUCUUUUAUAAGGGAAUAAAGUGAGGGACGUGUCCCUUUUUGUAUGUACCUUAUGAAUAAGGAUCGGCUAACUCCGUGCCAGCAGCAGC